UACGUAGGGUGCAAGCGUUGUCCGGAAUUAUUGGGCGUAAAGAGCUCGUAGGCGGUCUGUCGCGUCGGCUGUGAAAACUCGGGGCUCAACUCCGAGCUUGCAGUCGAUACGGGCAGGCUAGAGUUCGGCAGGGGAGACUGGAAUUCCUGGUGUAGCGGUGAAAUGCGCAGAUAUCAGGAGGAACACCGGUGGCGAAGGCGGGUCUCUGGGCCGAUACUGACGCUGAGGAGCGAAAGCGUGGGGAGAGAACAGG
rnacentral:rRNA from 1 species